AAAGGAAAAAAAACCGGCCAAGUAAAACAAUUGUGAAAACUCAAAAUGCCAAAUGGCUUCUAGGCCUUUCCGUCGGAAGAAAAAUGUCUGGCAACUUUCUUGAUUCCGCCAUGAUUGAGCCACUAAAACAUAUCUGCUUGAAACCUCAGAUGGCAGGAACGUAUCCCACCCGUUUUUUUUUUUGUUUUUUUUUUUUAAAUACCACAGCGAGACGGGAGCAGCGCUAGCUCGUGGGCUGACAGGUGCCAAGUCCCCCAAAAUCUAGAAAACCAACACAUUAAGGGACUUGAAUGGAAGCCAACGGCUUUCAAAACUGCUGAAAUCAAGUCGCACCUUACUUCAAACCGUCAUGACCGACGUUAAAGUAAAGCAGCUACUAUAACGUUGAGCAUGAGUUCCAAAAGGUGGCGCCCCUUCCAUCGGACGCAACCCCGCAAGAAGCCGCCUUGCUCACGAGCGCCGGUCGACGUCAUCUCGGCGCUACAGCGACUCGGAGCCCGUCGUGUGGCUUGAAAACGAAUCCCCGCGACAUCCGCGGGGCUGCAUUAGAACCCGGUCGGCGGCGUUUCCUUUCCUGACUUGAGCGCCUGCGACAAGUCGCGGCGUGGACGGCGUGCCAAAUAUGGUCGCCGGCGGCAGGAAGGGGCGGCGACAUUUCAAACCUUUCCUCGGGCACCCUUGAGCGCCUGCCGACUUGUCUCCUCUUUUGUCUUUUUUUUUAGCCGAGCUUCGUCACCGUGACGUGACGCGGAAAUUCAAAAUAUCGUCUCCCGGCGACGCUCACGUUGAUGCCUCUCGCGUUUCUCCUUUGGCUCGGCAGCCCAAACGGACUUGCUCACAAUUACAAGUUGGCCCGCUCAACACGGCCGGAGCGAGUUCAAAGUCACGUAGAGUGGCGCCAAACGGCUUCUCAAAUUUGUUGACUUUUGGCAAAAUGAAAUGAA